CCUUCCCUUUGGGGGAAGGUCAAGAAAGUUGGUGACGUGAAGCCCCGUGAACGGCGGUCGUAACUAUAACGGUCCUAAGGUAGCGAAAUUUCUUGUUGGGUAAGUUUUGACAUGCACGAAAGG
rfam:Beta vulgaris subsp. vulgaris chromosome 9, whole genome shotgun sequence.